rnacentral:rRNA from 1 species
UAUAUGAGGAUAUAUAUAGUUUGGCCUGCUCACUGAGUUAAUUAAAGAGCCGCAGUAUUCUGACUGUGCGAAGGUAGCAUAAUAGAUUGUCUUUUAAAUGGAGGCUUGAAUGAAUGGUUGGACAAAGUAUCAUCUGUCUUUUUAAUAAUUGUUGAAUUUGACUUUUAAGUGAAAAGGCUUAAGUGAAAUAAAAAGACGAUAAGACCCUAUAAAUUUUUAUAAAAAAUAUAAUUUUAAUUUAAGUUUAUAAGUUUAUAAAAUAUAAAUUAUAAUUUUAUUGUGCUGGGGCGGUGUAAAUAUAUUAUAUAACUGUUUAUAAAUUAAAAUCAAUAAAUAGUUGGUUUAAAAAAUUGAUCCUUUGAGAGAUUAAAAGAUUAAAAUACUUUAGGGAUAACAGCGUUAUUUUUUCUAAGAGUUCUUAUUGAAGAAAAAGUUUGCGACCUCGAUGUUGAAUUAAAGUUUCUUUAUGGUGCAGCAGCUAUAACAGAGAGUCUGUUCGACUUUUAAUACUUUACAUGAUUUGAGUUCA